CGCCCCCAAAUCCCGUGGACCUCUGCGCGCUGGUAUUUAAGUGUCUCGCGGUGCCUCUUCGGUCUCAUUUUUCCCGGGCUUUCGGUCGGCGUUUUCGUUUUCUCGCGGGUUUGGGCGCGCAUCGAACUCUGAAGGGUCGGGAAGGCCUGUCGUUGGAAUGUGGUUGAGUUCCAGGGAGUGUACAGGCUGGAGGAUGGGACAAGACCUAUCUCUGUAUCGAUCAAGCACGGCGUUGGUGUUCCAGCUCAUCACCAAUCCUAAGGAAUUCAAGUGCCUCCCAGGAUGAAUACAGGUUGUCUUGAUGGUGAUACAUUCAUCUGUCUUAAGAUCCCUGCUGAUCUGCUCAUGGUCAAACUCAUGGAAAGAGUUGAGAGUGGGGCACCUUGUUCCUGCAUCCUCAAAGGAGCAUCUUGUUCCAGAGUUAAAAGGUUCCAGAGUUAAAAGGUUAGUUGAUUAAUGUCACCAUAAUAUAUGCCACCAAGUAAGCAGUUUCUGUGAUGAAUCAAACUAGCUCACUAUGAACUAACAAUGAAAAGAUAUGAACACCUGAGAAACUGGAGAACAGAGCAGUGGGAUACUGUCUGCAAGGAACUUAAUAUCACUUACAGUUUUGUCCUUUCCUAGGUACCUGUACCAUUUAGCGGCUUGUUCACUCAAAGGUGAGUGAUUUAUAUGUUGGCACAUACAGUGUACUGAGGGAGAAAAUGCCUUUUUAGGCAUCUACACAUGAUGACUUACAUGGAAUCUCGUUCGGCUGAUGAUUUGCUGUUGAGACUCGGAAAUCUGAAUUUUUUUUUCUUUUAAGAACUUAAGUGGGAACAAAUUUUAAUGUAGGAAGUAAGCAUUACUGACUCAUUCUUGUUUUGUUUUAGAUCCAUCUUUUCUGGAGCCUGAGGAUGAUUGGAGGUAAAUCUGUUUAUCUAUGGCUGCUAUGUAAAGUUUGCCAGUUUUUGUGUGGCACUUUGGAUAGUUGUGCAGGUAUUACUUAAUCCAAAGUCUGCCUUUGGCCAUUUGUGAACCACCUGAAACAGAUUUCUGCUCACAUGAUGAGUUUGAUACCGCCCCAGUCUGAUCACUAUGACUGAAAGGUAUUUUCUGAGCUGUGAGUUUGCCUUAGAGUGGGAAGUUAGUCUUUUUAUAAAAUGUCUGUUGAGACCUACACAGCCUAUUAGGGUGUCCCAUUCCUCUGGGAAUGGUUGACUUAGUUCCCAAUCUCUGUUUUGCAGGUGAAAGGUGUAAGCCAUACUCUGCUCAACUCCAGUCUGAAACUAAGGUUAAAAGAACACGUACUUAACACACGGGUAAGAAUCCAACUCUUGGAGGACAUCAGAAGUGGAAUUUUCUUAUACAACCUACCUAUUCAAAUUAGCAUAUAAUCUUUCUAGCCUUUCUAAAUAAAUAAAGGGAUUUUUUUGUAAACCUU